rnacentral:rRNA from 1 species
GUGGGGAAUCUUGCGCAAUGGGGGAAACCCUGACGCAGCAACGCCGCGUGGGUGAUGAAGGCCUUCGGGUCGUAAAGCCCUGUCAGGUGGAAAGAAUUGCAUCGGCGUGAACAAUACCGAUGCUUGACGGUACCACCGGAGGAAGCACCGGCUAACUCCGUGCCAGCAGCCGCGGUAAUACGGAGGGUGCAAGCGUUGUUCGGAAUUACUGGGCGUAAAGCGCGUGCAGGCGGUUGGGCAAGUCAGAUGUGAAAGCCUUCCGCUUAACGGAAGAAGUGCAUUUGAAACUACCCAGCUAGAGUUCGGAAGAGGAGAGUGGAAUUCCUGGUGUAGAGGUGAAAUUCGUAGAUAUCAGGAGGAACACCAGUGGCGAAGGCGGCUCUCUGGUCCGAUACUGACGCUGAGAUGCGAAAGCGUGGGGAGCAAACAGGAUUAGAAACCCCAGUAGUCC